rnacentral:rRNA from 1 species
GUGCAGCAGUCGAGAAUACUUUACAAUGUGCGAAAGCACGAUAAGGGAACUCUGGGUGCCUCCUAAGGAGGCUGUUCAGGUGUCUAAAAAGCACCUGGAGUAAGGGCUGGGUAAGACCGGUGCCAGCCGCCGCGGUAACACCGGCAGCCCAGGUGGUAGCCACUUUUAUUGGGUCUAAAGCGUCCGUAGCCGGUUGAGUAAGUUCCUUGGGAAAUUUGGCUGCUCAACAGUCAAGCUUCCAGGGAAUACUGCUCGACUUGGGACUGGGAGAGGUCAGAGGUACUCCAGGGGUAGGGGUGAAAUCCAUUAAUCCCCGUGGGGGACCACCGGUAGCGAAGGCGUCUGACCAGACCAGGUCCGACGGUGAGGGACGAAGGCUAGGGGCGCGAACCGGAUUAGAUACCCCGGUAGU